GACGAACGCUGGCGGCGCGCCUAACACAUGCAAGUCGAGCGAGAACCAGAGCUUCGGUUCUGGGGAAAGCGGCGAACGGGUGAGUAACACGUGGGUAAUCUGCCCUCGGCGCCGGGAUAGCCCGGGAAACCCGGAUUAAUACCGGAUGGCCUCUCGCGCUCUCGGGCGCGAAAGAAAAGGUAGGCUUCGGCUUCUGGCCGAGGAUGAGCCCGCGGCCGAUUAGCUUGUUGGUGAGGUAAUGGCUCACCAAGGCUCCGAUCGGUAGCUGGUCUGAGAGGACGAUCAGCCACACUGGGACUGAGACACAGCCCAGACUCCUACGGGAGGCAGCAGUGGGGAAUCUUGCGCAAUGGGCGAAAGCCUGACGCAGCGACGCCGCGUGAGGGAUGACGGCCUCGGUUGUAA
rnacentral:rRNA from 1 species